rnacentral:lncRNA from 1 species
AUGCACUCCACAGACACAUGUAGCUUUAACGUAGUUCUGAGGGAGAUCCAGCAUGACACAGAAUGUGACAAUGAUGGCCCAUUGAAAAUACAGGUACUACUCAUUUUUGCCAGCUAUGUGGAGUGGGACAACAUGAAAUAAUGUGUCUUGCCCAAGGACAGAAUGCACUGCUGGAAAUUGAACUCGUGACCUUACAAUCGUGAGCCGAAUACUCAAACCACUAAGCCACACACCUUCACUACUGAUUUGAAAAGGUCACAUGUAAUACAAGUAGCUAUCUUAAUUUUACAUUAGCCCUUCAUUCCCUGUGUAGCAUAGGCCAUCAACAGCCAUCAACUGCUUUCCUCCACUAUUCGCAACUCUGGGCUGUCUUUUCUGCUCCUUUUAGUUGGGUCCUUAGUUUCUCAGCUCUGUGUCACAGUAUCUCACCUCCAGGAGUCAUCUCUUCUGCCUCCAUUGCAGGUUCCAGGUCAGAGCCUGAUGUUUAAUGCAGUAUGUUGGUUUUGCUGCAUAACAGCCCAUGCCUGUUACACUGGACAGCACUUCCCCCUCACUACUCAAUGGUGCACCUUCAAAUUUACAGUGAUACACCUAAUUUGAAACUCCACUUUAGCACUAAUACAAAUUAGUGCCCAUUAGGAUAUUCUCAAGUACCCCCAGGCAUCUAAGUCUGGCAAAUGGGCCUGCCACUACAUAUGUUUCCCUAAGGGAAGUUCUUCUUCUCCCAGGUCUCGCUGAUUUUGAAUAACUAUUAUGGGAGAAUCCUGGACACCCCCACAUGACUGAAGGUAGACUAACCCAUUACAAUAAAUAAGAACUGAGUGAACUGUCAGGGAGAGUAUUUGACAAGUGUUAGUUUGACCAUGUUGGUUAACCGCAUUAAUUCAACAUCUACUGGUUUAACAGUCGGUAGUUGAACAGUGAAUACUGAGUAUCAAACCUAUGAUCAAGUAGUACAAAAUGUGUUCUGUGUUAACAUAUAUUUCUGCGAUAGAUUAUUUUUAGAUAACCACAACCGACUAUUUAUUUGUGUAAUACCAUUUUGCACCAGACGUGUAUACUCAAACUAUAAUUACCAUCGACGCUUAUUCCUUUAUUCUUUUAUUCUUUUGUUUCAGUCAUUUGACUGCGGCCAUACUGGAGCACUGCCUUGACGUGCUGUUAGUUGAACAAAUUGACCCCUGGACUUAUUUUUUAAGCCUAGUGCUUAUUCAAUUGUGAAGGUACAUGGCCUAGUCGUUGGGCUGUUGCACUCUCAAUCAUUAGAUCAUGGCUUCUGUUCCCUGACUGGGCAGUGUGUUGUGUUCUUGAACAAAACACUUCAAUUCAUAUUGCUCCAUUACUCUUUUUGAUCAGUGGGGAUUGUUGGCCUGCUCACCCAGCCAGUGGGGUGGCAUCAUUUGAAGGCUAAAACAAUGCAAAAGCACAUUGUGACCAACGAUGUAUAACAACAUCUGAUAGCCUGGUCAGUCAUAUGAUCACUUAUUCUAGCAGCAUCUUUUGCUGAACCUCUAGGUUACAGGGAUGUAAACACAGCAACAUCAGUAUCAAGUGGUGACAGGGGACAAACACAGACACAUUGAGGAAAUGACAAGGGACCAAGAGAUGUGGUAAUUUGCUUUAUCAGAUAAAACACAUCAAGCUAAGUAAAAUCGCUGUCUUCCACACAUAUAGUCAUGUCCUUUCAGGUGCUAGUGCCACUUAAAAAGCACCCAUGCCAUUGCUGCAUUAACACACCCAUGCCAGUGCUCCAUAGACACACGUGUGUUGGUGGCACAUUAAAAGAACCCAGCACACUCUGUUAAGUAGCUGGCAUUAGGAAGGGCAUCCAGCCACAGAAACUAUGCCACAACAGAUAAUGGGAGUCUGGGCAGCUCCCUGCUAGCUAGCUCCAUGUCAAAUCGCUCACCCAUGCCAGCAUGGAAAGCAAACAUUAAAUGAUGAUGAUGUGUUGUCCUAUUGUUACAACCAAGAGGUUUACAAGUUCACUUCAAAAUCAAGAGAUUCAGAGUUCAAUAUCAAAACAUGAUAUCAUAAAUGUCAUUUGGCAUUGACCCAAGCCUUGAGACUGCCACUUGAUACAUGAAAACUAUAAAAGCUGGAUGGGUAGCACAUGUGAUUUGAGGCCCAGCUUUACUUCACAUUGUGAUAUGCUGAUUUAGCAUGAAAAUGAUGUUAAGAGUACAUAUGUCUCUGAAAUACUCAGCCACUUGUGUGUUAACUGAAAAAGUAGGUUGUCUCAUUUGUCUGUGUGUGUGUAUAAAUCAUUUAAAAGUUCAUAUGUCAGUAAAAAGAUGUACUCAUAUAUCUGUCAAAAGAGUGGGUAUAUUAUCCAAAGUGUACAGUAUUAUAUAUCCAUCGCAGCUGAUCUUACCAAUUGGUUUUGCACUAGGGGUACAAUAGAGUGUUAGGUAACAAUCCAAUAAUAUAACCCAACACUCAUCAGAGGUAGCCAAUAUUUCAUUCUUUAUUGACUACCUCCGAUGAGCAUAAGGCUAUAUAACCAGAUUGUUACCUAACAUUCCAUUGUAUCCCUAGUACAAAAACGAUUAGUCAGAGCAGCGGCAAUGAAUAUAUAAUACUGUAUGCUUCAGAUAAUAUAUAUAUAUAUAUAUUAUCUGAAGGACUAAACAGAAAGAAUACAACAAGGAGAAAAAAAGUUAGACAAAGGUAGAGCAAACGCAUAAGUAAACGAAAACUUGACAGUUGGGAAAUCUUGGCAAAGACAUGAUACACGGAAUAUCCACAGCCGAUUUUUCCUUAUCAGUCAUGACCCAAAAUAUCACUGUGGCUUUGCACCAAUUAUCAUUGACACCACUCAAUUUUGGAGGUGCCAAUGCUCUUAAUCUUUUGGGAAAAGCUUAGCAAAUGUAUACUAAGACAGAAACAAACAAGACAUAUAAAUACAACAGACAAAGAAUUAUACAUAUAUAACAGCAUGAAGGCUUUCAGCUGUAUACAGCAGAGGAAAAAGAAUAAUAAGACAUAUACUACAAAUACAGCAGAAAGAGCUUUGCAGCUAUCGAACGAACUUAGUGGGGUGGUACAAAGAUGAAAUGGGUAAGGUCCUAGAGAACAUAGUAGGAGCCCAGACCAACAUGACCAGUUCAGUUAAAGGCAGAAUGAAAAAGAAAUAUAUAUAUACAUAAAUAUAUAUAUAUAUAUAACAUAUACAUAUAUAUAUGUAUGUAUAUAUACAGAUAUACAUGCACACAUAUGUAUAUAUAUAUAUAUAUAUAUAUAUAUAUAUAUAUAUAUAUAUAUAUAUAUAUAUAUAUAUAUAUAUAUAUAUAUAUAUAUAUAUAUAUAUAUAUAUAUAUAUAUAUAUAUAUAUAUAUAUACACACACAUAUAUACAUACAUACACAUAUAUAGACACACACACAGAUCAAAAUUCCCUAAAACAGAAAAAUAACAUUCAGCCAACAUAUAGACAUUUGCGCCAAUAACAAAAAUCCGAGCUUCAGAAUUUUUCCCCUCUACCAAUUGAGAGACGAUACAACCUGUAGCCAACGAAUUAGUAAAGAGACUCUCUUUAUUGCAAAAUACAGACCCCUUUUGAACACAUCUACGACAAAUGACAUAUCCACCACAACCUUAGAAUAACACAAACACACACACAAAUAUUAAAAAUGAUACACUCAAGAGAUUCCCAAGAAUUCAUUAAAAAACAGUCUCAAUCACUGCUAUAAUCCAUAACGAGCCACUUUUAGGUUACUUGACCAUUUAACAACUUAUUACUAUUAUACUGCCUACAUUCCUUCUUAUUCUCCCUUCUCUUUAUUCUUCUUCUUCUUCUUCUUCUUCUUCUUCUUCUUCUUCUUCUUCUUUUUUCGUCUUCUUUUUCUUCUUCUUCUUUGUCUUCUUCCUCUCCGCCAGCUCCUUCCUAACUUUACCACUAUUGCUGUUUAGAAUAACACCUGCACAAAUUUUAUAAACGAAACAUUCAAAAAGAGCUGUUUCAGGAAUUCAAUCACUACUACCAUCCACAACUGGUCACUUUCAGGGCACUUGACCAUUUAACAUACUAUUAUCAUGGCACUCCCGCAUUCUUCUUCUUCUUCUUCUUCUUCUCCACAUCCUCCUCCCCUUCUUUUUCUUUUUCGUCUGCUUCUUCUUCUUCCUCCCUACCAAGAAUUCACAAUGACCUCAAACCCAUAAGAGUAAACAAGAGAGACAGAAACAGGCAGAAACAAGGAAAACGCCACUUGUAUUUGAACCCUAUGCAAAUAUUCUUUUAAAAAACUUUUCUUUUAAUUUUUCCAAAAUUUGUUUUCCAUACUUACAGUUGAAAAAAUCUCAAUGACUGAAACCAGUACUGAAAUGUUUUUUAUAAAAUUAUUUUAGCAUUUUCUACCUUGACUUUUUUUUCCAAAUAUAUCAACUCGUGUUUUCCUUUUCAACCUUCUACAUAUUAAUAUAUAUAUAUAUAUAUAUAUAUAUAUAUAUAUAUUCUGCCUAUAUGUCUGUGCACACCUUUGAAUGCAAUGUAUGCCAGAUAUUUGCAAAUCUAAAGGAGACCUCAAAAGACAUUUUAAGAUCCACAAAGAUUAGAACUUAUCUGCAGCUCUUGGUGGUCCAAAUCAGAUAUGCAAUCUAUGUGGGUGUCUUUUCAGAACAUUGUCUGGUUUAAAAAGCCAACCCAAAUCAUAUGCCAUGAUGGUUCUAAUGUGUAGGUACAGGAGGUGGUCAAACUCUGCAUAAGGAGUAGACAACCACAAUAUAUAUACAUAUACAUACAUACAUAUAUAUAUAUAUAUAUAUAUAUAUAUAUAUAUAUAUAUAUAUAUACAUAUAUAUAUAUACAUAUAUAUAUAUAUAUAUAUAUAUAUAUAUAUAUAUAUAUAUAUAUAUAUAUAUAUAUAUAUAUAUAUUUAUUUAUAUAUGUAUGUAUACAUAUAUAUAUAGAUAUAUAUAUAUAUAUAUAUAUGUAUGUAUGUAUAAGUGUGCAUAUAUGUAUGAAUGUAUGUAAUUCUCAUGCACAGAUACAACCAAUAAACACACAGAAACUACUACACAUAUAAUACACUGCAUGAAAUAAAAACACUAAAGUUAUAAAAACAAAUGUGUAUAUCAUAAAAAAACUCAUGAAACAAAACACAACAUAUUUCCUACCCAAACACAAAGUAAAGAAUAUAUUGCAAAAAUAUCAGGAUUAAAAACUCUCAAUAGCAUAAAACCAGAAACUAACAAACCAGAGAUUGUACUUCAGACAACGAAUGUAAUGUACAUAUUUCAAUGCAGAUAUGAAUUUUCAAACCUUAUGUCUUAAUCUGUUAUAUUGGACAAACUAGCAUGACACUUGCUCAUCAGUUGACUAUGCAUUUACAGCAGAUUUAAAAACAGAAGACAAAAUAAAACUAAAUAGAUAAAAAAAAACAUCAUCUUUCAUCAUUGGAUUAUGCCAUUGUGGAGGACUACCUUGAAAGGUUUGGUCAAACAAACUGACCCCAGUACUUUCUUUUUUUUUCCAAAAUUGAUGCUUUUAUCUAUCAGUUUCUUUAACCACACAGUUUACAGCUGCCAAAUUCACUCACAAGGCAUUGGUCAGCUCACGGCUAUGGUAGAAAACACUUGCCCAAUGUGCUGAGCAGUGGGACUGAAACCAAAACUACAAGGCUGUGUUAUAGUUUAACUUGACUUUCCCACUUUUGUAAGGAAUUUUAAACAGAUACAUACAUAUACGCGUAUAUAUAUAUAUAUAUAUCUUAUUUUAAAUAUCAAGUCAUUCCACCAUAACAUAAAACAGCUUAAGGGAAAUAACUCACCUUAGAUAAUUCAUAACAAAUAAAUAAUGAGUUAUGCUCACUAUAAUCUUGUUAUAAAGCAGGUGCAGACAGAAUUUGAAAUCACCAUUUCAAAAUCCAUUUCUUGCAAUUGUCAGGGGUUUAUAUUUGUUGUUUCCAUCAGAAAAUUAUGUUGUAUAAAACACUGAAUCAUGGACAAUUACAGUAAACUACAAAGCACAACCAUUCGAUAAGUAAUAUAUAUAUAUAUAUAUAUAUAUAUAUAUAUAUAUAUAUAUAUAUAUAUAUAUAUAUAUAUUAUAUAUAUACAUUUAUAUAUUUGUUUUGAAAGAUUCUUGAUGUGAAAUCGUGUGUUGAAGCAGAUAUUAUUGUAUUUAGGGCUGGUCAUUUUGCCAGUUUAGCCAAUAAAAACACACGCACUAUAUAUUUGGUGUUAAUUUGCUUCAGCUUUAUUUAUUUAUUACAUUAAACUUAAUCUUAUUUCGGCCAGAGUUCUUUCGUCACACUUCUGUGACCUCAUCAGUGGUCCUUUGCUCCACUGGCCCCUGUGCCAGUAGCUCAUAAAAAGCACCCACUACACUCUUGGAAUGGUUGGCAUUAGGAAGAGCAUCCAGCUGUAGAAACACUGCCAGAUUAGAUGGAGACCUGCUGCGGCCUCCUUGCUUCCCAGACCCCAGUCAAACUGUCCAACCCAUGCCAGCAUAUGUAUGUAUAUAUAUAUAUAUAUAUAUAUAUAUAUAUAUAUAUAUGAUAUAUAUAUUAUAUAUAUUAUAUAAUAUAUAUUCUAUAUAUAUAUAUAUAUGUAUAUAUAUUAUAUAUUAUAUAUACACAUAAACACACAUAUAUAUACAUACAUACACAUAUGUAUAUAACCACACACAUAUAUAUAUAUGUAUAUAUUUAUAUAUAUAUAUAUAUAUAUAUAUAUAUAUAUAUAUAUAUAUAUAUACACAUAUAUAUUCAAUCUCUAUAUAUACACACAUAUAUAUAUGUAUGUAUAUAUAUAUAUAUAAAUUUCUAUGUAUAUUUGUAUAUAUGAACAUAUAUUUUCGGGUAUAUAUACAUAUAUAUGUAUACACACACAUAUAUAUGCAUGCAUGUAUACAUAUAAAGAUAGAUAUAAAUAUAUAUACAUUCACACACAUUCACAGGGAUAUAUACAGAUAUAUAUAUAAUACACACACACACACAUAUAUAUAUAUAUAUAUAUAUAUAUAUAUAUAUAUAUAUAUAUAUAUAUAUAUAUAUAUAUAUAUAUAUAUAUAUAUAUAUAUGUAUAUAUAUGUAUAUAUAUAUAUUUAUUUAUGUAUGUAUGUAUAUAUAUAUAUAUAUAUAUAUAUAUAUAUUGAUAAAAACGGUAAGAUAGCAAAAGAAAGAAAGAGACCUCGAUAUUAUGUAAAUAGAUGAUUUUUCAUACUGUUUUUCCGAUGGCCGGAUAACUGAAGAGAUGGUGCCGUGUAUUUCCACCUCGGCAUCCAAAACUCGGAGUUUUAUCUUGGCUGCCGAAUAAUUGUCACAUACUAUAUUUACAAUAUAUAUAUAUAUAUAUAUAUAUAUAUAUAUAUAUAUAUAUAUAUAUAUAUAUAUAUGUGUGUGUGUGUGUGUAUGACAAAUUCACCACCAGAAGCAAAAAAAUGUAUCAUACACACACACACACACACACAUGACACACACAUACACGCACACACACACACACACACACACACACACAUGUGCGCGUGCAUUUAUAUAGAUAUAUAUGUACAUAGAGAUGUAUAUCUGUCUAUAGAAUGCCUACUAAGCUGUCAUAUUGGCAUCAAUUUGGACACGUCCUCACAACUAACAGAAAAUGCAAUGCUAAAAUUGCCAUUAUGGGAUAUUCCUGAUGCUUUAGAUCUUAUAAAAAAAUAUUCACAAUCACUAUUAUUAUUAUUAUUAUUAUUAUCAUUAUUAUUAUUAUUAUUAUUAUUAUUAUUAUUAUUAUUAUUAUUAUUAUUAUUAUAUUUAUUAUUAUUAUUAUUAUUAUAUUUGUUUAUGGUUUCCAGAAUUAUUUAUAUUUGCUUUUAAUGUAAUUUCUUUUUUCUUCUUUUUCAGUUUUCAAGGAAACGGAGGAGAAAAAAGAGAGAAAGUAAUGUUAUAAUAUAUAAAUAUAUAUAUUUAUAUAUAUAUAUAUAUAUAUAUAUAUAUAUAUAUAUACACAAUACAUAUGUAUAGAUUUAAGUAUGUAUGCAUGUAUACAGCUGCCAAACUCCAUUUGGAACUAUCUUUGAAGAUCUUGGUUCCUUGGUAAAGUCUUUUACUUGAGAGAUAAAAAAACUUGUGCGCUCAUACAUGCAUAUAUACAUAUAUACACAUAUUUACACACACACAUAUAUAUAUAUACAUUUACAUAUGUAUAUUUAUGUAUGUGUAUAUAUGUAUGUAUAUACAUAUACAUACGUAAAUUUAUAUAUAUAUAUAUAUAUAUAUAUAUAAACAUUGCAGGAGAAUGAAACUAGAUGAUAGUAAAAAUUCAAACUACGGCAAGAAGAAACUAGCAUACAAAUGUUACUACAGCUACAGGAGUCAUUGAUUGUAGAUAUAUAUAUAUAUAUAUAUAUAUAUAUAUAUAUAUAUAUAUAUAUAUAUAUAUAUAUAUAUAUAUAUAUAUGUACACAUAUAUAGAUACAUAUAUAUAGAGAGAG